GCUCACUUCAACUGCACAUAUACUAAAACUGGAACAAUACAGAGAAGAUUAGCAUGUGCAUACAUGCACAAGGAUGACAUUCAAAUUUGUGAAGAAGAUCUGAAUUCA